UACCAGCACCCCGAGUGGUCGGGACGAUUAUUGGGCCUAAAGCAUCCGUAGCCGGUCCUACAAGUCUUCCGUUAAAUCCACCUGCUUAACAGAUGGGCUGCGGAAGAUACUAUAGGGCUAGGAGGCGGGAGAGGCAAGCGGUACUCAGUGGGUAGGGGUAAAAUGUGUAGAUAUAUGGAAGAACAUCAAUAACGGCGAAGGCAGUUAACUAUUCUGUUACUGACGUUGAGGCACGAAAGCGUGGGGAGCAAAACGG
rnacentral:rRNA from 1 species